CUUCUAGAGCCAACCGUCCUCUCCAGACCAUGCUCUGGGUGCCUGGGCUUCAGAAUUCCCGCACCAGCUGCUUUCUGGGUCUAUCCCAGCUGCUGGCAUGUGAGAUGGCCAGAGGGCAUUUCUACAGGGCAUAUGCGAGGAGCUUGGCAGUAAGGCUGAAAAUGGCAAGGAGGUGUGAAGCAGAGGGAUCCAGGCCCUUCACUUGCACUCUUGUCUUGGAGCCUGGCACGUCAGCGCCAGGACGGCUUGGACCUGAGCCUUCAGGUGCCCUGGAUCUCCCUCCUGGGCUGCAGGAAGGACUUGAGAACUUGAGUUGCCAUUGCAGACACUCGCCAGCAGGUGGCAGCACAGGAGCAGAUUACAGGAGGUCCAGAGUUGUGUGAGUCUAUGAAGCUCUGGGAGCUCCAGUUGGAACAGUCCUAUUUUGAAGAUGAAGAAAACAAGACUCAGAGGCAAAGAGGCUUCUUGCAAGACAGAAAGUCAGGACUAACACAAGCAGAGCUCCAGGGCCCUGGUCUGUGUUUCCCCUGGGAUUCUCAAGGACCUACCACACCCCCUCCCCGCCCUGCCCCUUCUCUUUAACCGUUAUCCACUCGAGCUGGUGCCUCUUAGUUGUUUACAUCUGUAGUCUCCACCUCCUCACUGCCCGUUUACUCCAGAACUCACUGCAGAGGACUGGAUUUCUUUUUAUUCCUUGCUCAGCGCAUAGCAACAUUUCUCCUUCCUUGGGGACACAGCUGCUGUACCUUCUCCGGGAAGCCCCACCUCCUUCCCAGCAUGCACUGCGUUAGGUCCCGCCACAGGCGCCACAGUUUCUACCCACUCCCAGAGUGCACUGCGUUAGGUCCACAUGUAGGCUCCACAGCCUCCUCUACCUACCUCACCAGAGCUCACUGAUUUGAAGUCACCUGAGCAAGUGUCCACAAAACCGUGAGCUCCUUGAAGGCAGUCAACACCUUGUCCAUGUUCUGGAUGCACGCAACAGGUAUCAUCAUCCUUGCCGAGGGUAGACCCCUGACAAAUGUGUGCUGCCAAAAUUGUUCACACCUGACCUCCUUUAUAUGUGCUCUCUCACGACCCUCGGUUCACCUCUCUGUGGGGCACUACAAUUCUCUGCAUUCCACAAAUAAGGAAACUGUGGUGCCGAAAGUGAAGACACUGGCCCAAAAUGGCCCGGGGAGAGAAGGAGGACGUACCAGCUCACUGAAGAAAUCAUCAGGGCUCCUACUCAUGAAGUCCAUCCUGCAAGUGAGGACAACCCCUGAAUCUGGCUCCAAAGAGGUGGUGCUCCCCACAUAGCUCUCCAUAGCAUGGUCACUGACAAAAGGCUGAAUUGAGCAGGCAAAGGCACAGAACUCCCUUCUGCCCACGGCUCUCCCUCCAGUCACCUUUGUGGAGCACAAUGAGCUUUUUGUCCAACCCAUUCAUCUUACUGAUGGGGUCACUGGCCUACCCUCCAAGGAACUUGCCAUGGAGCUGGAAGGCGCAAGCCCUGAGCCUGCAUCUUGGCCCUUCUCUGGCUCCAAGCACAACACCCCAACUCUGUUUCUUUAUCUGGACAGCAAGUUCCUGAGAACCAUCCCACCUGGAGAAUUUCUACAUGCCAUGUUUUAUGUGAAGCACUCUAAUCAUUUUUUUAAGCUAUGCAUCAAGCAGCUAUAUUAUCUCAUUUAAUUUCCUGUUAUUCUCCCCAUCUGAGUCUGAGGACAUCUGGGUUCAGAGAGGGAAAGUUGAUUCAGCUGGUCACACAGUCAGUGAGCAAUGGAGUCGAGAUUGGACUCUGGCCAGCAGAUGUUGGGUCCUCCUGGGCUGCUACCCACUUCAAUUCUCAAAGGGAUACAACUCACAGAUGUGGUGGACUUUAGUGGGAAAAGGCUUCCCUCACCCCCUGCCCACACCUCACAAAUGAAAAGUAAUCCUGGAUGGGGCUGCUGGGAGGAGGUCUCCAUGUGGCCAGAAGGGGCGGGCUGCUGCUGUGUCCUGGGGGAGAAGGUCAGGCAGCAGGAAGUCAGGCGGACAGGGAGCAGGGUGCUGACCGUAGCUCUGCAGGCGGGAGGCUGCUCUGGACGCCCUUCCAGGGCAAGACCAGCGUCAGCGAGGCCUCAGGCCUCAGAGGGAGCGGUCUGGAGCUCAAGGAGCCAAACUUUCCAUGAGCCAUUAGCAAAAAAUGAGCCUGGAGAACAGUGUCCACCGCAGACCCAGAGACUCAGCAACCCUGGGUCACGUGGAAUUCAGAGGGGCUGGGACUGUCUUAACUCUUCCCUGGCUGUCCCCAGAGCCACCAAGAAACUGCUUUCAGAUUGAUGCUACGCCCAUCGUGGAAAGCUGUGAAGUGGCAGUGUGGGUCCCCCAGGCCACACAGCCAAGACAGGCAAAGCUGGAAAUGACCCCACGCCUACAUGGCUGAGCAGUGCACCCAUUCCUCCCAUAGUGCCCUGCUGCUGCCCCAAGCACUCGGCUCCAAGGAGUGUGAAAAACAAAAAAAGAGUCUUCAUAAGUCCAUGAAAUGAUUUGUCUCAAAAGACCAUGAGUUGCCCUGUGCAGGCUGGCCUGGGCUGUCAGAGCUCGUUGGAAAUAGGGCUGAGUCAGCCCCCAUGAAGACUCCAGGAGUCCAUACCUGGGUGCUGAAAAGUGUAUAGAGGUGGGCCCUAAAAGGAUGGGCAGGAUUCCAAUGGGUAGAUGGAGGAGGCACUAGGUCAGGGAGCCUGGACCUACAGAGGGAACCAUGCAGAGAUGAACUUGGCUGGGGUGGUGAAGGGGAAUGCACGGGGAAGGCCUACUGAGGAUCAAACACCAAGAUAACCAGUGUGAGCCCCAGUGUUACCUGUUGACCCUCACUUGACCUUGGGAAUAUGGCUGCUCUAAUGUGUGGCCAGAAGCCUCUCUCUCCUCUGC
ensembl:lncRNA